GAUGAACGCUGGCGGCGUGCCUAAUACAUGCAAGUCGAACGCUGGAAAUCUAGCUUGCUCGAUUGAAGGAGUGGCGAACGGGUGAGUAAUACAUAAGCAACCUACCCACGAAGACUGGGAUAAUCUCUGGAAACGGGGACUAAUACCGGAUAGGUAAUCGGAAGGCAUCUUCUGAUUAUUAAAGGUUAAAAACACUGGUGGAUGGGCUUAUGGCGCAUUAGUUAGUUGGUGAGGUAACGGCCCACCAAGACGAUGAUGCGUAGCCGGCCUGAGAGGGUGAACGGCCACAUUGGGACUGAGACACGGCCCAGACUCCUACGGGAGGCAGCAGUAGGGAAGUGUCGGCAAUGGGGGAAACCCUGACCGAGCAACGCCGCGUGAGUGAUGACGGCCUUCGGGUUGUAAAGCUCUGUUGUAAGGGAAGAACGGUAGAUAGAGAAUAUCUAAAUGACGGUACCUUACCAGAAAGCCACGGCUAACUACGUG
rnacentral:rRNA from 1 species